rnacentral:lncRNA from 1 species
UGGUGAAGGAGAAGGGAUUUAUUUGAAAAGGAUUCUUAGUCUGCUGAGGAGUCAAUUCUGAAUCACACAGGAGGCUGACAGGCAGGGUGUAAAUUCCUGGUCCACCUCACAAAUGGAUAAGAUACCACUGAUCCCCCAACACCCAGUGUUCCACUCACUGAAGUGACCUCCAUUGGCUUCUGUUUUCAAAGUAAAACAAGUAUGGAUAUUCUGCAGUGAUGAAUCCAUAAAAUCCAAUUUUGUCCCUAUUGGUACUUAUUUUG